UACGUAGGGUGCAAGCGUUGUCCGGAAUUAUUGGGCGUAAAGAGCUCGUAGGCGGUCUGUCGCGUCUGCUGUGAAAACUCGGGGCUUAACCCCGGGCCUGCAGUGGGUACGGGGCAGACUAGAGUGCGGUAGGGGAGACUGGAAUUCCUGGUGUAGUGGUGAAAUGCGUAGAUAUCGGGAGGAACACCAGUGGCGAAGGCGACUACCUGGCCUGUUCUUGACGCUGAGGCGCGAAAGCUAGGGGAGCAAACGGGG
rnacentral:rRNA from 1 species